UACGUAGGGUGCGAGCGUUGUCCGGAAUUAUUGGGCGUAAAGGGCUCGUAGGCGGUUUGUCGCGUCGGGAGUGAAAUCCACUGGCUUAACUGGUGGCUUGCUUUCGAUACGGGCAGACUGGAGGUAUGCAGGGGAGAACGGAAUUCCUGGUGUAGCGGUGAAAUGCGCAGAUAUCGGGAGGAACACCAGUAGCGAAGGCGGCUCGCUGGGCCACACCUGACGCUGAGACGCGAAAGCUAGGGGAGCGAACAGG
rnacentral:rRNA from 1 species